CCCAAACCCCUUUCAGAAGAUGCAGGGAAUCUUACAGUAAAUUCUUCCCACAUGGUCCCCUUUGUAAAGCCAGUCUGUCAGAGCUUGCCUUAGCACAAGAAAAUAAUGCCAGGCAGUGGGACAGCGAUGGACAGCUGCUGCUCUCUUGACAUUGGACGUCAGGGAGGGACUCCAUGAUGGACACAGGAAUGGGCACAAUGCCCCGGUGUUGACUGGAUACCAGGACCUGUGGACGUGGUGUGUUUUUAUUAUUAUUCUCACAGGAUUCCUGAACACCGGAUUGUGCUGCUGCUACUCCCCCUGCUGAGGGUGUGCAUUCUCCAGCCGGUCCAGAUUGCACAUUCGGUUCGUCAGGAGAGCUGUGAGAAACGACAUCGGAGAAGAGCCGAGUGACAUUCCAGUCAACAUGAGGAAUGAAGCCACAGGUGGUUUGGUGGUCCUUGAGUUGGAUGAAUUUACUCGCGUCCGCAGUCGCAGCAGAGGAGGCCCACUAGCAGUGCUACGACGACACCCGUGUCCCAGGACCCCUGGGAGAAGGUUGAACGAUCCUAGCUGUUACACUGUUAGGAAAUGGCUCAGGAUCAGAAAACACCCCAUGGAUUCCCUUCCAUGAUCCGGACAUCCAGAUACGGUGGCUUGAUCUGAAUACCAGCAUUACUUUAAAACCCCUAGGAAGCACUCAUGUUUAUGUGGGGGAGGGAGAAUUGGGAUUACAGGUAAACAUCUCAGUCCCCACGGGGAGGGAAAGUAAUUGGAUGGUGGGGAUACAAACUGAAGGCUAUUUUGGAGACAGCACCACAAUUGCAUACUAGCCCUUACUCCCCUAGAUUUGGGAUGGGUUUGUAAAAUCAGGAACCUUGGUAACAGUUAUUGUCGUAUACUGCCCACACACACACACAGGCAUUCCCAGAUGAUUGUGCAUGGAAGUGGGAAAAGAGUACGUAUUUAUGAGAAAUACACCAAGGUCCAUGAAGAAACCUGCACUGUUCAAGGUCCAGACCACACUGGUGAAAGUUUUAGUAAGCCCCCUUCUGGUAAACAUAAAAAUUAACAUGGAUUGGACAAGGUUAAAUGUUUCUAACAUAGAGCCCAAAUGUAUACCUUACUCCCUUUCCAUUCUUUCAGCGUGGAUAAGAACACACCAGCAUUCCCCUCUCACUAGGGCCAAAAGAGAUCUUAUGGAUACAAUGCUGGGGAGUUUUGGUGUGGGAGCAGGACUCAUGAAUUCUGUGGAUUUAAAAGCAAUUAAAAAUAAAUUAAGCUCUCUGUCCCAGCUACAGGACAGCCUGAUACAGAAACAGAUACAUGCUAAUGUGGAUCUAGUCCAAAUAGGUCUUGGUAAUUUAAAAGCUAGAUGGAACCUAUAGUAAUGGCUCAAUGCUACCACCUGGCUGCUGCAUAAGAAACAGGUAAAAAUGCAAAACCAUGCAUAGCCAUUUGAUGUACUGAAAUGCAGAUACUUGCUUUGUCCACAUUGGCACACGAAAAGUUUUGGGUAAUAUCAGGAAACACCAAGGUUUUAAUACACUUGUUGAAGCAAAGAAAAAGGUCAUUGUUUGAUACUGCAUCUACUCAUAUUGACAAGUAUGUUUCUAGCAUGGUAAAACCAGACCUUUUAAUUGGAGAAAUUGUUGUCAGGAUUGCACAUUAACAGUCUCUGGAAGCAAAGAUAUGGAAAGUUAGCCCACUCCCCUAUUGCACAUUGGAUAGUUCUGGCUACCCCGGAUCUCGAGCCAGUGGGCUGGGGAGGGAGGGAAGCUAUUGGACACGAGAGGUUAUACCGAGUGGACUCCUCAAAAGUGGGUGUGCUUGUCCCUACCUGUUGCUCCAGAGCCCUGUAGUAAAGACAUUUCACUAGGAUCGUGUAUGUGGGAUGAAUUAAACAAUGAAAGCAAAGUAUUAUAUAAUGAGCAAUGUGUAUGUGUUAAUUCCUGGGAGGAGGUGUUUUGGGAGGAUGGAAGUGUUAGCAACCCACCAGUGGACAAAUGUAAAUGCAAUGUAAAUGCUGUGUUUACCAAUAAUCACACCUACUAUUUGGCACAGCCAGAAAAGUCUCUGCUUACUGUAAGCACUGAUUUAGCUGAGUUCUCUGUCAGUCUUGGCAUUGAAUAGCAGGAAUUCACCACUCACCUGUUUAAAAGGUAAAGAGGUAACACAGUUCCGAGAACAGACAAAAGGCAAUGUGGGAAACCGAACAAUCCAUAUUAUGCAUGCAGACGGGGACAUGUUAAGAAUUGCCACUGCAGAAAGACAGAUAACAGUUUACAUAUUUUCUGGAUGGUCUCCCACAACUACUGGCAAACUAUCUGUAAUGCAACAUCCCCUACUAAUUGUUUUGGUUUUGAAUUGUAUUUGUCUAACUGGGAUGUUUGGAAUGUGUGCAAGACGAGAGCCACAGGCCCAAAUUGUCUCCCCGUACUUUCUAUUAAACAGAUUAAAUAAGAAGUGACACUAGUGAUUAACAGGUUUCAGAGUAGCAGCCGUGUUAGU